AAUCCUUCCUAGGACGAUCCUGGCAGCAGGCUCUCUACAAAGAUAUCCUGUCAGCAGGUUGACAUUCAGGACCAAGGUGACCAGGGACAGGGCUCUAAGGCCAACUGAGCAUCUGCUGCAGUGAUCACCACACUGCUAUAUGUAGACCCAGCCAGGUCUUUUGAGAUCACAGUGUAACUAAGAUAGCAAUCAGAAAUGAGGGACCUAGACCCCACAGCUGUGCCUAGUAGGAGAUAGAAGGCUAGGGGGGCAAUGCCCGCUCAGCCCUACCCUUCAGGUCAGUGAGUGUUGGAUGGUCUGCCAUGUGCUGCUGCUGACUAGGGCCAAAUGUGUAAAACCCAGCCCUGACAUGAGCUCCUUGCUCAUAUCUUGGAAAUUUACAAACCUCUCUUCAGCUCCCUUUGCUUGUCUGUGAAAAUCAGGUACAUUUGAGAACAUCUAGUAUUGUGGACACAUGGGCAUUCAGAGCCUUUCGGCUGAGACUCAAUGUUCCCAGCCAUUCUUCUUGGAUCCUGACUUAAUGGCCCCAAUUUCUCAGCGGCUUGAGAAAUAGGUUAGUAGAGAAGCAGGAAGCUGGGGAAUGGCUAGAACAUGAACAAUCCUGGCUGGACACACUGAAAAAAAAAAUCUAACAAACGAGCUUCCAGAGUUAUAGAAUGAAUAAGCCAAAGGGACCUGAAUUCCAAGGGUGUUACAACAUUUGCAGCGGCUGGAAACACUUAGCUGGGGAUGGAUUAGUGACUGUAGCUAAUUUCUAAAGCAGAGAUUCCUUUCUAUGGUCUGCUUGUUCUUGGUUGCUCAAAUCACCUGAUCUCCCUCGGGUGUAGUUACUUCCUUCUGUGAUGAGCAUCUUGCCAGGGGAGCUAGGUGGCCCAAAGGCAGAGGGGGGUCCCCUUGGGAAGAGGGGGAGGGGUAUUCUGUGGGAUGUCUGAGGAGUCAGGGUGGUGUGUUUGAGACCUGUGGCCAGAGAGGGGACUUCCAGCCUUGCCUUGGUCACAGUCUCAGUAACGUGAGGGUUAGCCUGAGCAGUCCUGGCCCUGUCCCCUUGUCACCGCCAUGCUCCUGCUAUCCACUGCUAUCCUUUCUGUUUCUCUGGCUUCUACUGGUAUUCUCUGCCCUAAUUCCUUUCCUGCUUCUCCUCCAUUCUUCUAAAACAGUGCCCACCACAUGCCACCCCUGCCCCAUUCCUGACUAUAGCCCACCUUUCCCCUCCCUAAACAUGCUCCCCACCGCUCUGACAGCUCUCCCAUCUCCUGAGCACCCCAGGUGUUACAUGAAGGAUCUCCAUCUCGGCUGCAUCUCUUAAAAGCCCCGGCCUCUUGAUAGCCUUACCAGGCUCUGCUGAAAACUCCAAUCCUCUGCCCACCUGGAGACAGGUAUCCAGGGUCUCUUCAAAGCUGCCCUAGUGUUGUGGAAUGUGCACUCAGGGCUAAGAACAAAAAGUACCUCCUCACCUGCGGUGGGUUCAAUAGCUGCCUCCUUUUCACCUGCAGGUGGGUUCAAUAGCUGCCUCCUUCUCCUGUGAAAACAAACAUGCAGUCCUUCAGAUUGUUUUGUUUUUCUGUUUUGUUUUAAGACAGGAUUUCUCUAUGUAGCCCUGGCUGUCUUUGAACUUGUAGACCAAGCUGGCUUCAAACUCCUGCCAUCUACCUGUCUCUGCCUCCCAAGUGCUGGGAUUAAAGGUGCGCGCCACCACCACCUGGCAUGUACAUGCAUCUUAAUGCAAGUGACUUGUCCCUGGAUUCUUCUGAUGCACAUUUUCACACACCCAGUCUCCCCAGUAUCUCCCCUGAACUCGUCAUGUCUCUUUCUGAGAGACGAGGCAGUUUUCUACCAGGGAAGCAAACUUUUCCAGGUUCAAAUAUGUGGUAGCAUGUGUCUCUCCCAUCCCUUUGUCCCACAACAGGAAGGUUGACUGAGAUGAAGAUGUGAAGAAAUUCCUUGCUUCCCACAGAUCCUAGUGCCUUGAUGCAGAACGGAGACUCAGCCUCCUGGAGCCAGAGUUCCAAGUCAGCCCAGAGGCAUCUGGCAAACAAUUAUCCCCAGCCCCGCCUUCUCCCAAUUGGCCCUGAUUUUACAGCCACUAAUAGCGCUGCUCGAGUUCCUAGUCGCCUGGGAAAGGAAGCAACAGAAGCAUUUUCCACGCAGUGACUUGGGCUAAGUCUCCUAGCAAAGCUGGGAUAAUGAUGCAGAAACUAGCCAUGCCAAGAUCCCAUUGGAGGUUCCGGCUACAGCAGACUUCCUAUCCCAGCCUGCAGCUCUGGGAUCUGGCUGGGUCAGUUUUACAGCCAGCAGAAGGAACAGUUAUGACCGAGCUCCAACAACUGCAUGCAGAAGCUAAUGUAAACUGUUUUCUUGUCUUGCUUGUCCUCCCCCCCGCCCCCCUCCCCGUCCUGUCCCUCUCAAUGGUUUACGUCAGGCCGUGUGUAGCUUCUGGGAUUUCUAAUCACACCUGAUGUGUGGGGAACUUAAGUGGCUACAUAGAAGGUUUCACAUAUUAGCAGAACACUCUCGACCUGCCUGAAACCAAGUGAUGGAUGCAUACCUUGUCCUGGGUGUGCCAACCAGCUGAAAACCCGUUAGAACUUAAUUAAGCUCGUUCUUUACUGGCAGCAAUGCAGGCUCCUGGUGAUCAGCAAGAGGCAUUCUCUAGGAUCUGUGGUUGCACGUUGAGUCCACCUUUAUCCUUUCUCCAGGAGAUCUCAGCAUCAUCUCUUCGUCCAGAGAACACCUGCGAUGUGUACCAGAACCACUCCUGGGAGGUCUUCCUCCAUUGAUCUGGGCCAAGCACGGUCCUUCUGUAAUCUUCUGCAGGUGACUCUCGCUCUGGAGAGCUACUCGCCUGUUAGGCUGGCUGGCCAUUCUCUCAUGUCAAGGCCUUCAUUCCAGGUCUCUUGAGCCUCGGACAGGUCCAGUGGGGGCAUCUAGCAGGUACACUGAGUUCUUAGCAGUACCCUAGGAUGAGUUCUAUACUUACCUCACCAGCCACACUCAAUUCACUGCAUUUACUCUUUCUUCCAAAAUAUUUCUCAAGUCUGAAAAGAAUAUUUCUCAGCCUUCUGUGAACAGUUACUGGAUGGAGAAGGUGUUUCUCUGGUUCACGGGGUUUCUCUUGAGAGUGUGUAACCAUUGCUCUCGUCCCAUAGCAACCUGCUAAGAGCUGUUGCUCUCCUUGCAUAAGCACACAGCACUUCCUGUCCCUUCCUAAGACAGAACUGGAAAAGCUCACAGCUCGUACAAUGAGAGACUCAUGGAUGACAGAAGGGAAUAAACACAGCAUAAUGUAAUACAGGAUGCAUGUUGUCCACAGGGGAAUAGUUCACAGCUGAAACCUGCAAAUCCUAUCCUAUCCCAGGCUCCCUUCUGCCUCCUCGUAGUGAGCACUCUCUUAGACCUUGAGUCCUGAAGUCUCCACGUAGAAAAAUUGGAGCAGGAUCCUCCUCUUGUUUCCCCACUCAAUCCUACUGUUAGAGCAUUCCUCUCUCUACACAGCUGGUGGUGAUGCUGGCAUCUCCAGUAGGUACUCUAGGGCAAUGGUUUUACCGGCUACAACACUGCAACCAAACCUAACUAGAACACAACGCCUCUAAUUUUCAUUUGUGUAUCGAUAAUUUCCCCAACUUGACACAUUUCCUGCAGAGUGUAAGAAGACUCAUAAAUCUCAGGGAGCUAAUGACACUUGAAAGACUCAGAAAGUUCUAGAUUGAUAAGGCCCCUUCCCAAGCUUAUAUUCGCAGCAAACAAUCCCACUAAGGGGGAGUUCUUGCAUCUGCAAAUGUGUCGGUGAUGUCUAUGGGUGCAGUUUUCACAGGCUAUGGUAGGCUUUUCAGUGAUGCAGCUUCUUUACGCUCCCUUUUGUUCUUGUUUGCUUUCUAUUGCCGUGAUGAACAACUGAGACCAGAAGGAACUUAGGCGAGUAAACAGUUUAUAUCAGCGUACGCUUCCACCACUUAGGGAAAUUACCCAGAAGCUAUGGAAGAAUGCUGCUUACUAAUAGGUUGCUUCUCUCAGUUGCUCUUUGCUACUUUUUUAUACAACCUGGGCCCACUAUCAUAGGGAUAGUGCUGCCCACAGGGGGCUAAAUCCUCUGGCACCAAUCAAAUCAAAAGAACUCACAGAUAUAGCCACAGGCCAAUCUGAUUGAAGUAAUUCUUCAGUUGAGGUAAUUCUUCAAUGGACACAAGGUGGCUCUAGGCUGUGUCAAGUUAAUGAUUAAAACUAACCAGGAUACCUGUGCUCAUGGUUAGAAAACCUAAUAAGCUCAUUGCUUCAUCAAACUGCACUUGAAUAGAAUUCUUUCUUUGAUCUGUAGUCAGUGCUGAGGAUAGGCGAUUUGUUUGCUCAUGUUUCUCUGGGAAGAGUUAUCUAACACAAUAAUGAAGGCACCCCACACACAUCCUGCCUAUGUCACCGCCACUGUCUCGGUUUCUUCUCUAAUGAUCUCUUGCCAAUCUGUAGCACAAGGCUCCUCUCCUGUCUUCGGCACCCGCCUGCUUUCCUCACAUUGCGUCUGAUCUUCGUACCAUAAAGUUUUACAGCUUCGCAGUUUCCAAACUAUCCACUCUCAGCAUUUGCUUAAUCUUUUAAGAUCUCUCAAGGAUGAGCCUCGAAGAUAUUUUAUAUGUUAAUUAUCUGUUGAUAUUUGCUGUCAGCAUUAAAACAAAGAAAUUCAAUAAAAGUACUUUUUUACUCUUG